rnacentral:ncRNA from 5 species
UCCCUGAGACCCUAACUUGUGAC